rnacentral:rRNA from 1 species
GUAGGUGGCAAGCGUUGUCCGGAAUUAUUGGGCGUAAAGCGCGCGCAGGUGGUUCUUUAAGUCUGAUGUGAAAGCCCCCGGGCUCAACCGGGGAGGGUCAUUGAAAACUGGGGAACUUGAGUGCAGGAGAGGAAAGUGGAAUUCCACGUGUAGCGGUGAAAUGCGUAGAUAUGUGGAGGAACACCAGUGGCGAAGGCGACUUUCUGGCCUGUAACUGACACUGAGGCGCGAAAGCGUGGGGAGCAAACAGGAUUAGAUACCCUGGUAGUCCACGCCGUAAACGAUGAGUGCUAAGUGUUGGGGGGUUUCCGCCCCUCAGUGCUGCAGCUAACGCAUUAAGCGCUCCGCCUGGGGAGUACGGUCGCAAAGACUG